GAUGAACGCUGGCGGCGUGCCUAAUACAUGCAAGUCGAGCGAACAGACGAGGAGCUUGCUCCUCUGACGUUAGCGGCGGACGGGUGAGUAACACGUGGAUAACCUACCUAUAAGACUGGGAUAACUUCGGGAAACCGGAGCUAAUACCGGAUAAUAUAUUGAACCGCAUGGUUCAAUAGUGAAAGACGGUUUUGCUGUCACUUAUAGAUGGAUCCGCGCCGCAUUAGCUAGUUGGUAAGGUAACGGCUUACCAAGGCAACGAUGCGUAGCCGACCUGAGAGGGUGAUCGGCCACACUGGAACUGAGACACGGUCCAGACUCCUACGGGAGGCAGCAGUAGGGAAUCUUCCGCAAAGGGCGAAAGCCUGACGGAGCAACGCCGCGUGAGUGAUGAAGGUCUUCGGAUCGAAAAACUCUGUUAUUAGGGAAGAACAAAUGUGUAAGUAACUAUGCACGUCUUGACGGUACCUAAUCAGAAAGCCACGGCUAACUACGUG
rnacentral:rRNA from 1 species